GGGUCCCCUAUAGGGUUCAUCCCACCCCCACAAUGGAAAGGGGCCAAGGUACCUUCCAUACGGCCCUAUAGGAGCCUGGGGUCCCCUAUAGGGUCAUCCCCCCCCCCAAUGGAAGGGAGAUCCUAUAGGGGGGUCCAGCACCUCCACCUGACCCUAUAAGAGCCUGGGGUCCCCUUUAGGGUCAUUCCCCCCUCCCCCAAUGGAAGGGAGAUCCUACAGGGGGGGCAGCACCUCCAUACGGCCCUAUAGGAGCCUGGGGGUCCCCUAUAGGGUCAUCCAUCCCCCCCAAUGGAAGGGGCCAGCAGCUCUAUCCGGCCCUAUAAGAGCCUUGGGGUCCCCCUUUUAGGGUCAU
rnacentral:lncRNA from 1 species